CGGCGGCCUGCAGAGGACAGUAUUCAUGGUGACAGUGAGGACCUCAUCCGUUCUGUCCCUUGGUGACCCAAAGAUGGGUGUCCAGUGGAAACAACUUUCCUUCCUGCUCUCUGGCCUGGGCGCUGCUGAGGUCUCCACCUGCAGCCCUGCCGGGCACCCCUGGCCUAUUCAGGAGCUAGAGUCUGGGACUGGUCUUGGUGCUGGGAGGACAGCUUAGGGCACCAACCAGUCAGUCCUAAGAUACAGCCCUCCUUCACCCUACUUGGUACUGCCCUCUAUGGCUGAGGCUUUUCUUGGGGAGGCAAUAUGUAUCUUCCUCAAUUUACGAUGGGGUUACAACCUGACAAUCUCACUGUAAGUUGAAGGUAUUAAGUCAAAACAAGCAUCAUAGCUCAGCCUAGCCUACUUUACUUUUUAAAGAUUUUAUUUUUAAGUAAUCUCCACACCCAACGUAGAGCUUGAACUCACAACCCCAAGAUCACGAGUUGCAUGCUCUGCGGCCUGAGCCAGCCAGGUACCCCAGUUCUGAGCAUUUAGAGUAGGCUAGGCCACGGGCGCCUGAGUGGCUCAGUUGGUUGAAUGACUGAUUUCAGCUUGGUCAUGAUCUCACGAUUUGUGAGUCUGAGCCCCACAUCGGGCUUUGCACUGAUAGCACAGAGCCUGCUUUGGAUUCUCUGUCUCCUUCUUUCUCUGCCCCUCCCCUGCUCACGUGCAUUUUCUAAGAUAAAUAGAUAAAAUUAACAAAUUAAUAGUCUAGGCUACUUUAAAAAAAAAAAAAGAGGGCCACCUGGCUGGCUCAGUUGGUGGAGCACGUGACUCUUGAUCUCAGGGUUGUGAGUACAAGCCCCAUGCUGGAUGUAGGGAUUACUUCAAAAUAAAAUAAAAUUAAAUAAAUGAAUAAAUAAAUAAAUGCAUGCUCAGUACACUUACAUUAGCCUACAAUUGGGCUAAGUUUGUUUUAUAUUAAAGUGUUGGAUAUCUCCGGUAAUUUACUGAAUACUGCACUGAAAGUGACAAACAGAAAGUCUGCCCAGGGGCUGCGGCUCCCCACCACAGUCUGGUAUCGAGGAAGAAUAUUAUAUCGCACACCUUUAGCCCAGGAGAAGCUCAAACUUCACAAUUUGAAGUAUGGUUUCUACUCAGCGCGUACUGAUUUCUCAUCUCAUAAAGCUGAAAAUCCUUAAGUUGAGCCAUUAUAAAUCAUGGACGGUCUGUAUAGUACAGUGACGACGAACAAGGGCUCUGACUGAAGAAAGAUGCGGGUUCUGCCAUUUACCAGCAGGGAGACCAUGACCACUGGGUUAGUGACCCAGUCUUUCUGAACCAGCUUCCUCUAGGGAAUGAGAAUAGUACGUACUUCUUAGGUCUAUAGCAAGGACUAAAUACAACACGUGCAGAAUACUUAGCACAGUGACUGGCAUGGCCAACAUACAAUAAAUAAUGCUUUCGUUUCUCUAGCUCCUAACUCAACACCCCACCUGGGGCUGCAACGGUUGGCCAAACCCCUUGCCAAGUUCUCCUCAGUCCUGGCCGCAAGCUGAGGUCUGACUGCCGGCAGAGUUACCGCCUCUAAUAGUCCCAGAACUAGGCCGGGCCCCACGGCCAGCCAUCAGAUGGCAAUUAGCCAGUCCCUCCCUCCUUGGGUAACUCAGAUCCUUCAGUACGUGGUGCGUCCGGACUCCCUCUACCACAGCUGCCCUCCUCACACCCAGUUCAACAAGCGUAUCUGAGGUCAGGUCCUAGCACCUCACUGGGGUGAGUCUGGGGUGACUGCAAAGGCAUAAAGGGCAAGCAAGCAUCAAGGGCCUAGAGCCCAGCAGCCACAACCACCACUUACUAGCUCCCGAAUCUGAGCUUCCUGAGCCGCCACAACAUCACCACUGUGCUUCAGCUUCUCCUCAGAAGCCUGCAAGCUGUGCUCGAGCUCUUGCACCUGAGGGGGAAAGGGAGCGUCUUCAUUCAGAAGAAGUCACAGGGUGGGAACAAAUGGCUUUAAAAAUCAAAUCCGUUUAAAUAUCAUUACCACUAUUCUACCAUUCUUUUCCUCCAGUCUAUUUUUGUGACUUUUUAAAAAAAAAUAAUUCUAGGCAAACUUUGUAUUUUUCCUCUUCACUCAAGUUUCCUUUUGUGUUUCAAUGUAGCCUUGAGAACCUGGAUUAUUUCCUUAAGGGAUGUUUCACAAUCUACUGACCCACUGCCUCCUGUGCUGGCGCUCACGUUUCCCGCUUUUCUGUCUGAGACAGUUAACGUCUUCACUCGACAGUUUUUGACCUGGUUUGAGCCACUUCCUUACGACAGAUUCCAGGAAGUGGGAUGACUGCUCACCGUACAAACUUUCACUCAUUCUACAGACGUCAACCGAGUCUGACUGUGUACCCCGCACCGCACUAGGACGCUAGGCCGGCCCCGCAGAUGGGACAACACCCUGUCCGCAGAGCCAGAUCUUCCAACGGGCCAUUUUUAUCUGAUUUGAGCUGUCUUUGCCAAUUUCCCUUAUAAAGUCCUCUUGUUCGCUGAAUAACAUUUGACCUUGAGGAAGCUUAUCAUGAAAACAAACACAAGGAAGGUUUGCAGCUUUGUCACGGAGAGGAAGAAGGUGGCAAUCUGGACGUCCAGCGCCUGGCAGAUGACCGGAAUGUGGUGUAGUGAGCGCAAUCCACUGGACACAGCCAGAAGAUGGGGCGGGUGAAAGGAACAGUGGAUGUGGAACUACAUCACUCACAUAAAUUAACACACAUGCACACAAAACAAGGUCACCAAUUUUAAGGUAACCCAACAACAAAAGGAUCUCUAUUAACCACAUUAGAAUGGCUUCCUGUGGGAAGGAAGGGACUGGGGAUAAAAGGGAAUGAACAAACGAGAACAAUUUUGUGUGGAACAAUGGUGGCAAUGUGGCAAGAAUGAAGAAAAUGACUAACUCAACCAUGUGUAAGUAAGAUCCAAAACAGUCCCUUUAAAAGAAAACUUUUGGGGUGCUUGGGUGGCUCAGUCAGUUGAGCGUCUGACUUCCACUCGGGUCAUGACCUUGUGGUUCAUGGGUUUGAACCCCGUGUCGGGCUCUGUGCUCACAGCUCAGAGCCUGAAGCCUGCUUCAGAUUCUGUGUCUCCCUCUCUCUCUGCCCCUCCUUGCUCACACUCUAUCAAAAAUAAACAUUACAAAAGAAAAGAAAAGAAAACCUCUGACCCCAGGGGAUUCUCCCACAACCAUGUCAUCCAACCAGGUUACCACCCAGACAUGGGAAUCACUAAGAGUGAGGUUAGUACCCGAGUCUCCAGGAUGUCCAUGGCCUUGGCCUGGCUGCUUCUGGCUGCCAAGAGCUGCUGUCUGGUAUCCUCCAAAUUCUGCUCAGCAACUGUUUUCUGUAAGUUGAAGGAAGAGUAUAAGAAAAUAGUCAUUUUCCCACUGAAUAAAUACUUACUGAUACCUACAAUAUACUGUGAUUUGUGCAAGACACAAAGGACACAAAUGCAUUAACAAAAAUAAGGGCUGAUUGAGAUAAAUUUCACAUUACAUAAAGUAUACACAGAGGGGCGCCUGGGUGGCUCAGUUAAGCAUCCGACUUUGGCCAAGGUCAUGAUCUCGCUGUUCCCGAGUUCAAGCCCUGUGUCGAGCUCUGUGCUGACAGCUCAGAGCCUGGAGCCUGCUUCGGAUUUUGUGUCUCCCUCUCUCUCUCUCUCUCUCUCUCUCUGCCCCUCCCCGGCUCUUGCUCUCUCUCUCUCUCUCAAAAAUAAAUAAGCAUUAAAAUUUAAUUAAAAAAAGUACGCAAUAAAUUUGACACAGUCCUUAGUCCUUGAGGCUGGGGCAAAAGAUUA